GACGAACGCUGGCGGCGUGCCUAAUACAUGCAAGUCGAGCGAAUGACGAGAGGCUUGCUUCUCUGAUUUAGCGGCGGACGGGUGAGUAACACGUGGGCAACCUGCCCUGCAGAUCGGGAUAACUCCGGGACACCGGUGCUAAUACCGAAUAGUUUUCGCCACCUCCUGGUGGCGUACGGAAAGACGGUUUCGGCUGUCACUGCAGGCUGGUCCCGCGGGGCAUUAGCUAGUUGGUGGGGUAACGUCCCACCAAGGCGACGAUGCGUAGCCGACCUGAGAGGGUGAUCGGCCACACUGGGACUGAGACACGGCCCAGACUCCUACGGGAGGCAGCAGUAGGGAAUCUUCCGCAAUGGACGAAAGUCUGACGGAGCAACGCCGCGUGAGUGACGAAGGUUUUCGGAUCGUAAAACUCUGUUGUGAGGGAAGAACAAGUACCAACUAACUACUGGUACCUUGACGGUACCUCACCAGAAAGCCACGGCUAACUACGUGCCAGCCGCCGCCGUAA
rnacentral:rRNA from 1 species